rnacentral:rRNA from 1 species
UACGGGGGGGCAAGCGUUGUUCGGAAUUACUGGGCGUAAAGGGCUCGUAGGCGGCCAACUAAGUCAGACGUGAAAUCCCUCGGCUUAACCGGGGAACUGCGUCUGAUACUGGAUGGCUGGAGGUUGGGAGAGGGGUGCGGAAUUCCAGGUGUGAGCGGUGGAAAUGACGUAGAUAUCUGGAGGAACACCGGUGGCGAAGGCGGCAUCCUGGACCAAUUCUGACGCUGAGGAGCGAAAGCCAGGGGAGCAAACGGGG